rnacentral:rRNA from 1 species
GACGAACGCUGGCGGCGUGCUUAACACAUGCAAGUCGAACGGAAAGGCCCUGCUUUUGUGGGGUGCUCGAGUGGCGAACGGGUGAGUAACACGUGAGUAACCUGCCCUUGACUUUGGGAUAACUUCAGGAAACUGGGGCUAAUACCGGAUAGGAGCUCCUGCUGCAUGGUGGGGGUUGGAAAGUUUCGGCGGUUGGGGAUGGACUCGCGGCUUAUCAGAUUGUUGGUGGGGUAGUGGCUUACCAAGGGUUUGACGGGUAGCCGGCUUGAGAGGGGGCACGGCCAAGUUGGGACUGGGAGGCAGCCGAGACGACUACGGGAGGAAGGGGGGGAGAAUAUUGCAGAAUGGGCGGGAGCGUGAUGAAGGACCGCGGCGUGCGGGAUGACGUCCUUCGGGGUGAAAACCGCUUUCGCCUGUGACGGAGGGUGAGUGGGGGUAAUGGGAAAAGAAGCACCGGCAAUCUGCG